UACGGAGGGGGCUAGCGUUGUUCGGAAUCACUGGGCGUAAAGCGCACGUAGGCGGAUGUGCCAGUCAGGGGUGAAAUCCCGGAGCUCAACUCCGGAACUGCCUCUGAUACAGCACGUCUUGAGUUCGAGAGAGGUGGGUGGAAUUCCUAGUGUAGAGGUGAAGUUCGUAGAUAUUAGGAAGAACACCGGUGGCGAAGGCGGCCCACUGGCUCGAUACUGACGCUGAGGUGCGAAAGCGUGGGGAGCAAACAGG
rnacentral:rRNA from 1 species